CAUGCUUAACGGAGUUUUUUAAAGUAUGUUUUUGUACCGAAAGGUUUUGAUCUUAGGUUUAGUUGUUUAGAAGUGUUGUUUGGUCUGGGUAAGGUCUUGUAAACUAAAUUUAUGUGGUGAUAAGUGAGUCGUAAAGCUUUAUAACUGUUUGGUUGUUUAGAAUUUAGUGGGAUGUAGGUGGCUAUUAGGUCAUUUAUAUUUUUAUACAUUUGGUGAUGUGUGGUUUUUGAUAAGGUUAGAGGUACCUAGUUUUUGUUAUAUUGUUGUAAAUAUGGUUUUGUUGGUUUAUUGGUAUGUUAAUUGUUUGAACAACUGUUUUGCUAUAUUUGGUUAUUAUAUUAUCGUUGAAUAAGUAAUUUUAUUAUGCUAUUUAUUUCUUGAGUUCUUUCCGUCUGUUUAUUAAAAACAUUUCUAAUUUUAAUUGUAGUUAGUAGUGCCUGCCCAAUGUUGGUUAAUUAAUGGCCGCAGUAUAUUGACUGUGCAAAGGUAGCAUAAUUAAUUGCCUUUUAAUUGGAGGCUUGUUUGAAUGGUUUGACGUGAUUGGUAUGAAUAUUUGGUAUUUAGUUGAAAUUGAUUUUGAGGGUUUAGAAUCCUUAAUGUUUAAU
rnacentral:rRNA from 1 species